rnacentral:tRNA from 1 species
GCCUGGGUGGCUCAGUCGGUUGAGCGUCUGACUUUGGCUCAGGUCAUGAUCUCGCGGUUUGUGAGUUCAAGCCUCGUGUCGGGCU